rnacentral:rRNA from 1 species
UACGAGGGGGGCAAAUGUUGUUCGGAAUCACUGGGCGUAAAGGGAGCGUAGGCGGGCUUCUAAGUUAGGUGUUUAAUCCCGGGGCCCAACCCCGGACAGGCACCUAAAACUGGGAGUCUUGAAUAGUGGAGAGGACGGCGGAAUUGGGGGUGUAGCGGUGGAAUGCGUAGAGAUCCCCAAGAACACCAGUUGCGAAGGCGGCCGUCUGGACACAUAUUGACGCUGAGGCUCGAAAGCAUGGGGAGCAAACAGG